AUACCCCCAGGCCUUCCCAGAGGGUGCAGGCAGCUGCAGGAGCGGCCCUCGGCCGUGGGAAAAGCUCCUUCCCACGCCUCCGCCGGGCCAUAUAAACCCGCCGCACGUCCCGGCCACGGCCCUGGGAGCUGGGGCGAGGAGAGCACAGGCGAGUUCCCAGGCUGUUGCUGAAACGCAAGAAGCUGAAGAAGGCUUCUUUCAUGCAGCAGAGAUGAAGAGGGCAGCCUGGCCAGGGUGGUCGGUGGGGACCUCUCUGGUCACCCCCCUGAGCAGCCCUGCCUGCAGCCAGCCAUCUCAGCCCUUCCCUGCCUUUGAACAGAGGAGAGCUCGACCAUCCUAGAACCUGCCAGAAAAGGCAAGAAAGAAAACCCUCUGGAAACAGUGAGCUUUGUUGCAAUAUGAAAAACAGAUGCAAAGCUGGGUUGGGGUAUUUUUAGCUGUUUAAGGCUGAACAGGUGUUUGAAAGGUCAGAUGCGAGUCACUGGGAAAAAAACCACAUCUAUUGAGAGCCUGGCAGCGGGGCUUUGGCACUGGCCUGGCACUGGCCUGGCACUGGGAACGUCCUGGGGUGGGCUGGAGCUGCUCCCAGGCAGCGUGUGUGUCCCCAGCAGUGUGUGCACGAGGCAGGGGCUGGCAUGGGGGUGAGGGUAGGGAGGUUCCCCCACAGCACAUGCAGGGCUCUGCCAUGCUGAGGCUCCCACGUGGCUCGUCCCAGGAGCAAGCUGAUGCCUUUGCUUUGCCUUGUCCAAGGAAUGAAGUUUGUCACCCUUAAACCUGAGCUGCACGUGGUGCUUUUAAGUAGCUGCUGAAGGGGACAACUGAAGGACCACAGAAAGGUUGGUGCUGUCCUUUGGGGAGGACACUGGUGAUGCAGACACAGGUAGACCUGAGCAUGCCCACUGCUGCUGUUGGCUGUGGCCCAGCAGGUAGCCCUGCUGCUGGCCAGGCACGUGCCCAGAGGUGAGAGCCACACCGCUGCCUGAUGCCAGCAUCUCCCUUCCCCAGCUCAGGGGGCUCAGGCAGGAGCUGGGAUCCUUGCAAGGUGAGGCAUGGCAGAGAGGAAAGGAGAGCACGAGGUGUGGCAACUCACCUGCACAGGCUCCCAAAUGUCAGUGGGACCCACAGGCAGCUGCCAGAGCAAUCAAAGCCCUUUUUUGAGUUACAGAAGCCCCCCAAAAUAGCACCUGAAACCAAUAAACUUCCCUUUCAGGAACUUCUGUAAUUUGAAACACACACAAGAACAAAACAAAACAAUCCUGAGGGUUUUUUUCUUGAAGCUCUUUCUCAGGCAGGACUUUUGGGGUCUUUUUUCAGCCCCCUUCAGCUGGGGGAGUGCUGGGAGUGCUGAGCACAGGCUGGGGCUUCCCAGGGCCUCCUCCAUCUGCUUCUCCCCCGUUUCCUCCUGCUCCUCAGCCUCUCCAGCUGACACCCAGGUCUUGCUGAGCUGCAUCACACCACCCAACCCCAUCUACCCAGCUCAUCUUUGGGAAGACAGUGGCUCAAAAUACCCUGGGCUGGCAGUGAAAGCACUGA